rnacentral:rRNA from 1 species
AAAAGGUUCAAGCCAGGCAGAUCCAUUUUCUGCCACCGAAUACAUUAGCAUGGGAUAAUGGAAUAGGACCCUGUCCUCCUAUUUUCAGUUGGUUUUGGCAGCGCGAGGACUAGGGUAAUGAUUAAUAGGGAUAGUUGGGGGCAUUAAUAUUUAAUUGUCAGAGGUGAAAUUCUUGGAUUUAUGAAAGAUUAACUUCUGCGAAAGCAUCUGCCAAGGAUGUUUUCAUUAAUCAAGAACGAAAGUUAGGGGAUCGAAGACGAUCAGAUACCGUCGUAGUCUUAACCAUAAACGAUGCCGACCAGCGAUUAGGAGACGUUGAAUACAAAACACCACCAUCGGUGCGGUCGUCCUUGGCGUCGGUCUUUCGGGGCCGGCGCGGGGACGGCUUAGCCCGGUGGCACCGGUGAAUGACUCCCCUAGCGCCUUGGUGAGAAAAAAAAAAAAGAA